UCACAGUGGGCUUUGGAGGCACUUUGAGACAGGCUGUGUGAGAGGUUAGAGUCAGAGUUGUUGCAGUUUUAAUACUGCUGAAACAUGUGAAAGACACAAACUCUUACUACAAUCCCUUUGGGACACCCGGGGGUGUUGGAGUCACUUUUCUAUGUCACAGAGUCAAAGAGACACAUUCAAGCAGUCCUCAACAGCACAUGCUGAAGAAAUUGAAUGAGAACUGCAAACUUGCAAGAAACUAUUUGAAUAGGAGUUGUCCUGCAGUUUUAAAACAUGGGCAGUCUUCAGUUAGAAGAUUUUGUAGCUGGUUGGAUAGGAGGAGCUGCAAGUGUAAUUGUGGGGCAUCCUCUGGACACAGUAAAGACUCGUUUACAAGCUGGACAAGGAUAUGGAAAUACACUUAAGUGUAUCCUUACCGUGUACAGAAAUGAAAGUGUUGUCGGAUUCUUUAAAGGAAUGUCUUUCCCAUUGGCCAGCAUUGCUGUCUACAGCUCGGUGACAUUUGGUGUCUUCAGCAAUACUCAAAGGUUUAUUAGCCAGCAGCGCUAUGGAGAUUCUAACCAUGCCCCGGCACUCUCGGACUUGAUCAUUGCCAGCAUGGUAGCAGGGGUUGUCUCGGUAGGAAUUGGUGGGCCUGUGGACCUGAUAAAGAUAAGACUACAGAUGCAGACACAGACAUUUUUUAAAGCAAACAUAAACUUAAAGCACAGGGCAAUUGGGUUUCCCGCAUACAGAGGCCCAAUUCACUGUGUUAGUUCAAUCCUUCGGCAGGAGGGCUUAGCUGGAAUGUACCGAGGUGCCGGAGCAAUGCUUCUGAGGGAUGUUCCUGGGUAUUGCCUAUACUUCAUCCCUUAUACAGUUCUCUGUGGCUGGAUUACUCCCGAGGGAUGCAUAUCUCCUAGUCCCUCUUCUGUGUGGAUGGCAGGAGGUAUAGCAGGAGCAAUUUCCUGGGGGACUGCUACUCCGAUGGAUGUUGUGAAAAGUCGACUUCAAGCUGAUGGGGUUUAUUUAAACAAAUACAAAGGAAUCAUUGAUUGUAUCUCCCAGAGCUACCAUAGUGAGGGCUUAAAAGUCUUUGUUAGGGGCCUCACAGUCAACGCAGUGCGAGGAUUCCCGAUGAGUGCAGCCAUGUUUCUUGGAUAUGAACUUUCACGCAAAGCCCUAAGAGGAGACCAAGCUGCGACCAAUCCUUAACAUCCAGGUGGUCUGGCUUUGAGUCUCAGCCAAAGUAUCGGUUCUGCAGUGGGCUUGAUGCCGAAAUUAGGGAGUGAAGUUCUACGGCUUGGUUAUGGAGAUCAGACUAGAUAAUCAUAAUGGUACCUGCUGGGAUUCAAGUCUAUGGAGACGGACUCUGAAAAGGUUUAAAACCUGUCUUCAAAGUAAUAAAGAAUGAAGGGCUUAAAACAUGUCAUUAUAAUCUGUCAGAAAUGAAGAUAUGAUUUUUUUUUCUACAACUCGGAGUGAAAUGUCAUCUCCCCAAUUUCUUUGAACAUCCAGGCAGAAAACUUUGAAACCUGCGACUGUAGUCUGACUAAUUCAUGUUUAUGCCUUCCCAUUUCUUGGACUGGUUGUGAAUUGUCGUGCUUUGUGGAUGGGUUUAAAAGAAUGAAUGAAACACUGCAAGUUGGUUUCAGCGUGAGGGAUAAGAUUCGUCACGUUCAUCGAUCGCUUUCACUACUGCAGAAAAAAAAGUGCAAAAAUCUCCUGUCCUGUAGAGGACCCUGUCACUCAAAUUCCACUGGGAACAUAGAGAAAUUCUUAACACUCGUCAAAACAACCUUUCAGCAAGUGAACAAGGAGAAAAGCAGGAAAAAAUGACAAAGGAGAAAAAAUGUUAUUUAUUGUAUUUAUUAUCUAAAUAAAACAUGAA